rnacentral:rRNA from 1 species
GUCUACGGCUAUGCCACCCUGAACAAGCCUGAUCCCAUCUGAUCUCAGAAACUAAGCAGGGUCGGGCCUGGUUAGUACUUGGAUGAGAGACCACCUAGAAAGAUCAAGUGCAGAAGGCG